rnacentral:rRNA from 1 species
GACGAACGCUGGCGGCGUGCCUAAUACAUGCAAGUUGAGCGCUGAAGGUUGGUACUUGUACCAACUGGAUGAGCAGCGAACGGGUGAGUAACGCGUGGGGAAUCUGCCUUUGAACGGGGGACAACAUUUGGAAACGAAUGCUAAUACCGCAUAAAAACUUUAAACACAAGUUUUAAGUUUGAAAGAUGCAAUUGCAUCACUCAAAGAUGAUCCCGCGUUGUAUUAGCUAGUUGGUGAGGUAAAGGCUCACCAAGGCGAUGAUACAUAGCCGACCUGAGAGGGUGAUCGGCCACAUUGGGACUGAGACACGGCCCAAACUCCUACGGGAGGCAGCAGUAGGGAAUCUUCGGCAAUGGACGAAAGUCUGACCGAGCAACGCCGCGUGAGUGAAGAAGGUUUUCGGAUCGUAAAACUCUGUUGGUAGAGAAGAACGUUGGUGAGAGUGGAAAGCUCAUCAAGUGACGGUAACUACCCAGAAAGGGACGGCUAACUACGUG